UACGUAGGGUGCGAGCGUUGUUCGGAAUUACUGGGCGUAAAGCGCACGUAGGCGGCUUUGUAAGUUAGAGGUGAAAGCCCGGGGCUCAACUCCAGAACUGCCCUUGAUACUGGCGGUCUCGAGUCCGGGAGAGGUGAGUGGAACUGCGAGUGUAGAGGUGAAAUUCGUAGAUAUUCGCAAGAACACCAGUGGCGAAGGCGGCUCACUGGCCCGGUACUGACGCUGAGGUGCGAAAGCGUGGGGAGCAAACAGG
rnacentral:rRNA from 1 species